CAAGACCGUGAGGUGGAGCAAAACUCAAAAACUUGUCUCAGUUCGGAUUGUAGGCUGAAACUCGCCUACAUGAAGCUGGAGUUGCUAGUAAUCGCGAAUCAGCAUGUCGCGGUGAAUACGUUCCCGGGCCUUGUACACACCGCCCGUCACACCAUGAGAGUUGGCAAUACCCAACGUACGUGAUCUAACCCGCAAGGGAGGAAGCGUCCUAAGGUAGGGUCAGCGAUUGGGGUGAAGUCGUAACAAGGUAUC
rnacentral:rRNA from 1 species